rnacentral:rRNA from 1 species
AUUGAACGCUGGCGGCAUGCCUUACACAUGCAAGUCGAACGGCAGCACGGGAGCAAUCCUGGUGGCGAGUGGCGAACGGGUGAGUAAUGUAUCGGAACGUGCCCAGUCGUGGGGGAUAACGUAGCGAAAGCUACGCUAAUACCGCAUACGAUCUGUGGAUGAAAGCGGGGGACCGUAAGGCCUCGCGCGAUUGGAGCGGCCGAUAUCAGAUUAGGUAGUUGGUGGGGUAAAGGCCUACCAAGCCGACGAUCUGUAGCUGGUCUGAGAGGACGGCCAGCCUCACUGGGACGGAGACACGGCCCAGACUCCUACGGGAGGCAUCAGUGGGGAAUUGUGGACAAUGGGCGCAAGCCUGAUCCAGGAAUGCCGCGUGCAGGAUGAAGGCCUUCGGGUUGUAAACUGCUUUUGUACGGAGCGAAAAGGCUCUCUCUAAUACAGGGGGCUCAUGACGGUACCGUAAGAAUAAGCACCGGCUAACUACGUGCCAGCCGCCGCCGUAA